rnacentral:rRNA from 1 species
CACGGGGGGAGCAAGCGUUGUUCGGAAUUACUGGGCGUAAAGCGUGCGCAGGCGGUUUUGUAAGCCAGAUGUGAAAUCCCCGGGCUUAACCUGGGAAUGGCAUUUGGGACUGCAAGGCUGGAGUUUGGCAGAGGAGACUGGAAUUCCUGGUGUAGCAGUGAAAUGCGUAGAUAUCAGGAGGAAUACCGAUGGCGAAGGCAGGUCUCUGGGCUAUAACUGACGCUCAUGCACGAAAGCGUGGGGAGCAAACAGG